rnacentral:rRNA from 1 species
UACGUAGGUGGCAAGCGUUAUCCGGAAUUAUUGGGCGUAAAGCGCGCGCAGGUGGUUUCUUAAGUCUGAUGUGAAAGCCCACGGCUCAACCGUGGAGGGUCAUUGGAAACUGGGUGGCUAGAGUGCGGGAGAGGAGAGUGGAAUUCCUGGUGUAGCGGUGGAAUGCGCAGAUAUCAGGAAGAACACCCGUGGCGAAGGCGGCUCUCUGGAACGCAACUGACGCUGAGACGCGAAAGCGUGGGGAGCAAACAGG